rnacentral:rRNA from 1 species
CAGUCGCCGCGGUAACACCGAGGGUGCGAGCGUUAAUCGGAUUUACUGGGCGUAAAGCGUGCGUAGGCGGCUUUUUAAGUCGGAUGUGAAAUCCCUGAGCUUAACUUAGGAAUUGCAUUCGAUACUGGGAAGCUAGAGUAUGGGAGAGGAUGGUAGAAUUCCAGGUGUAGCGGUGAAAUGCGUAGAGAUCUGGAGGAAUACCGAUGGCGAAGGCAGCCAUCUGGCCUAAUACUGACGCUGAGGUACGAAAGCAUGGGGAGCAAACAGGAUUAGAUACCCGCGUAGUCCAUGUCUUUUAUAU